AUAAGAGACGAGGACAGGCGACGGAAAUGGUUCAAAUCACUUCUGGGAGCAGGCUACUGCCCAACAUGUUUUCGCCGCCGAGACGGAUUCUCGUCGGAGGCGCGGGCUUCGUGCCCGAAAAAUAUCUUAAUUUAGUUUUUAUUUAUAAAUUUCCUUGCAAGAUGACGCUUUGAUUAUGUCGCUUUUUAUAUUUUCAUGAAGCGUUCAUUGUUCACGGUGCGUCAUCAUUACCCCUAGGCCGCAUCGAUUGACAAAUGUUAUGGGCGUCUCAAGCCCCCCCCCCCCACGACAGCCUGAACUGAACUGGAUCCACGUGGCUUAGAAGAGUGUGCUAUAUAUUCAAAUAAAGCACAUUUUCCUCUUAAGAACGAGUUUCAUUUAAUGUCUUAAUGAAUAAUGCACUAUGUGAAUCCUGGUUGACAUAUUUGGUGGUCAUGCAGGUUUAAAAGAAAUGGUGCAAGAACAAAAAUCACAAGUCCUGUUAUAACUGGAGUUUCUUGGCAACUUUCCCAAGUUUCUCUUUUAAAGCAAGACACAGUUGUAGUGUAAUUGUCACAAGUGAGAGGCGGUUAAUUUUACAAUCACUUGGCAGUUGACUUUUUUUUUUUAAACUGGAAAUUCUAGGAUAACCAGAAAUGCUUGAUGCUGAACAACUAGGUGUCUGUUCUGAGUAUUUUCCCGGGUUACAUGAAGUCCUAAUAAAGUGAUGUUUAACAUAAA